GCAGAACGCGAAGAACCUUACCAGCUUUUGACAUGCCCCGGACGGAUACCAGAGAUGGUUUCCUCUCUUCGGAGCCGGGGACACAGGUGCUGCAUGGCUGUCGUCAGCUCGUGUCGUGAGAUGUUGGGUUAAGUCCCGCAACGAGCGCAACCCUUAUCGUAUGUUGCCAGCAUUUAGUUGGGCACUCGUGCGAGACUGCCGGUGAUAAGCCGGAGGAAGGCGGGGACGACGUCAAGUCAUCAUGGCCCUUACGUGUGGGGCUAGAAACGUGCUACAAUGGGAGUGACAGUGAGCAGCGAGGUCGCGAGGCCAAGCUAAUCUCCAAAAGCUCUCUCAGUUCAGAUUGUAGUCUGCAACUCGACUACAUGAAGUUGGAAUCGCUAGUAAUCGCAAAUCAGCAUGUUGCGGUGAAUACGUUCCCGGGUCUUGUACACACCGAGUCGGUGGGGGA
rnacentral:rRNA from 1 species